ACAACGCAGACAUGGUGGACGCGAGUCAAAGUGCAGUAUCUGUUCUUAUCAGUUUAAUAUGGGGGACUGGGUUGUAUUUGGACCUAAGAUAUUAAACUUAUCUUUGCCAGUCGGUGUAGUCUUAAAUCCUGCUUCACGUCCGCCGCGGGUCGGCCCAGUUUUGCGCUAACUUCGAGAUCGGCCCACGUGUG